CCUACGGGUGGCAGCAGUGGGGAAUAUUGGACAAUGGGCGAAAGCCUGAUCCAGCCAUGCCGCGUGUGUGAAGAAGGCCUUCGGGUUGUAAAGCACUUUCAGUGGGGAAGAAAGCCUUGGGGCUAAUACCCUCGAGGAAGGACAUCACCCACAGAAGAAGCACCGGCUAACUCCGUGCCAGCAGCCGCGGUAAUACGGAGGGUGCGAGCGUUAAGCGGAAUUACUGGGCGUAAAGCGCGCGUAGGCGGUCUGAUAAGCCGGUUGUGAAAGCCCCGGGCUCAACCUGGGAACGGCAUCCGGAACUGUCAGGCUAGAGUGCAGGAGAGGAAGGUAGAAUUCCCGGUGUAGCGGUGAAAUGCGUAGAGAUCGGGAGGAAUACCAGUGGCGAAGGCGGCCUUCUGGACUGACACUGACGCUGAGGUGCGAAAGCGUGGGUAGCAAACAGGAUUAGAUACCCCUGUAGUC
rnacentral:rRNA from 1 species